GGAUGAUUUAUUUCUCCAUGGCAAACACAGUUUUCAAUAUGAAAUGCAUUGCCAUCGCCACUCUUCCAUUUAAACUUUUGAAUAAUAUAGGCCAGAAUUUUAACUUCAUUGGUCUGUGCUUUCUCUUAUGAAGACAUUCAUUAACAUUAGCAUUACAUUUCUUUUUAAAAUGUCAAUAGGACAUAUCAAGACUUGAAUAAUUUCUUUAUUAAUAUUUAUAGACUCUGGGGGCUGGGAGUAUAGCCCAGUGGUAGGGCACUGGCUGGCAUACUCGAAGCACUAGGUUCAAUUUCUACCACAAGGGGAGGGAAAAAAAGAAAAAAGGAAAGAAGAAAAGACGGCUUAAAGUACUCUGCAAUGGUGAAAUAUAGACAGAACAUCACCCACCCCCCAAAAUAAAUGGAAUUCCAUCAUCUCAGAGUAAGACAACGUAUGACAUGUUUUUACAUUAUGUGUUUAUCAAUAAAAGAGUACAUUUCACAAUUCCAAACAAAACAUUACACUUAUUUUACUUAUGAAGUAGAAUUAAAUUGACUUUUUUCCCAGGCCAGGAGAAUUAUUAAGCACAUUUUGAGGUGGAAAGGAGGCUACAGAGCAUAGGAAUUACUAAUGUUAUACUAGCUUAUCAUAUAUAUAUAUAUAUAUGUAUAUAUAUAUAUAUCAGUAUCAAGUUCACAAUGAAUGUAAUAGUAGUUUUCUUUGUAAGAAUUAAAAAUCUCCAUAACCACAUACAUGCACCCAUAGCAAACGUGAUUGUGUGUAUGCCUGAGAUAACAAACAAAUAAACAAAGUACCCGAAUGCCUUUAUAUUUGACUGCUUUUGUCUUAUAAAGUGAAGCAUUCUUUAACUAAAUGUAUUUGCAUACAAUAAAAAGUAACAAAUGAAAUGCAACAAUCCUUGAAGACCAUGUGCAGCCUAACAGGCAAACAAAGGGUAAGUUACACUGUGUCUUCAACCUACCCUAAGUGAUCAAGGGAAGAUUUUGAAUGUGAUGCAAAUUUAAGGAAUCAAAGGCAAAAGAGCCAUUCGUGAGACUUAGGAAAAGCUCAGCUUCCUCUCCUCCCAACCACUCUUAGCACCACUCAAUCCAUCUCAGCAUUUCUCAGAAUCAGUGCAUGAUCCUAAAUCCAAAAAUCACACUUGUUUUUCCUUGCUGAUUUCUGAAGCAGAAAGCCCUCCUUUUAGCAGUAACUGUCCUUUUCAUUUGACAGCCCCCUGAAGAGUUUCAACCAAACUGUAAAGUGGCCCCUUUCAAAACUGUAAAGAAUUUACUUUUGCAUUAUGAUUUGACUAAGUUCAAUCUUUGUGAUCUUACAGUCAUUUUUAAUCUACUACUUAUGAAUUUUAGGCUCUAGCUCUUAUGAAUCGAAGGUAAAUCAAGUCCAUAAAAAUGUUGCCUGUUGCUGGAUACUAGAAUCAAUGCCAGGCCCCAUAGCUGGAGCCAGUAAGUCCCACACUGACCAUGAUUCCCUCAAAGGGUGUGGGAGGCGGGAUCUGCAAACUGCAUGGAGAAUAUUAAGAAAGCGAUUUCAGAAUGACCUCCCAUUCAUAUUUUUAAGCAGGGUUUUCAAUGUGAGGCGUGAUCUUCAUACUGAGCUACUGAAACGGAGACAGCAAAAGCAUUUUCCAAGCUGAUAAAUCUCAGGCUGGCUUAUCACUCUUCUGGCCAAGGAUCCCUGAUAUAGCCCAUCAUCUCCAUCUCAAGAAAUCAAAUAGUUCACAUAAACCUUUGUACUCUACUCUGGGUAAGUGAAUGGAGCCCACUCCGCCAUACACCACAGACUCCAGAGGAACAGAUUACUGGAUGUUUGGUGGAGACAAGUGCUAAGGAAUGGCAUGCAAAUGCUCUUGACAUGUGCACCUUUGGUUAAAGACAGCGCAAUACAUUGACAGACAUCAGGACCUGUGGAAUGCACGAUUGCUAGGAAACGCACGCUGCUAGGAAACAGAACAGAUCUGAUGGUAUCUUCCAGGGUAAAGACUGUAAAUCACUGGGUUGCAAACUGCUAAAAGUGGAGAGGAAGUAUUCUACCAUCCUCAGAAAUGUUUGCAAGUACAGAAACUUUCACAGAAACCCCCCAGAAAGGAAGAAAAAAAAACCAUAGGAAGCAAGACUCUAGGGGCGAAAUCAUAAAUCUAAGUUGUUUUUUUUUUAUAAUGGUCAUGGUCAUGUAUAAUAUCUCCUAUAAAUAUUUUAUAAAGUAUAACUUAAUCAAAAUUAGGCAUGAGUGAAUGAUCCAGUACUUGUCCUUUGUAACCUAUGUCUUAUGGUCAGAACCUUAAUAAAAGUACACUUAAAAAUAAAGGACACUUCUACAAAAACAUGUUUUUAAGUUAACUAGAACCUACCCACUUUGCACAGACAUCAAAGUAGUCAGAAGUAAUAUACAACUAAGUAUUGCAAUAUAUUUUACUUAUUGUAUUUUUCAAGAGUUAUCUUUGCAAGCAUAAGUUUAUUAAGAAGUGUUUAUCUCUGUACAUCUGUUACGCGUUCCUUCACUGCUAAAAGGAGAAAAAACACAAAACAAAACAACUGAAGGAAGGGAUUUCAGCAUAAACAUCCUCUUGUUUCCUACACAAAUGAUCCUCUUUGGGUGACACUGGAAAACAACUGGCAAUUUUACGUGUAGUGCGCAUACAGACAAAUUGAGUGCGAGAACUGCUGACCACUUAGUACAUUAUAGACUGAAAAAUGAAUUAGGGAGCUUCCUAACCUCUGUUAUCUCAUAGACAAAUGCAGCUGACUUUCCAAAUGCAAAAAAAAAAAAAAUCACUAAAGUGAUCCCUUGCAGAUUCUACGACACCAUUCUCUAACUAGCGAUGACAAGACCAUAUGACACUAAAAUUAGCAGACCUCCUAUUUACUUCAGAGCAAAACACAGAAGGCAUUUUUUCCCCUUCCGCCAGAGUCUAUGUGUCUUCUUUCUCUGGCAGCUGGCUGCAAGGAUAUAAAAUCAGAGGUGCAAGCAGCCCUUACACUUCCUAAUGAGUAAUCCACCCAGGAAAGUAAACACAACAGACACCAGCAGGUUCAGCUCCGAGGAAGACAGUGGCAAAGAUGCUUACACUGUUGUUUACAAUGUUCUCUCUCUAACUACUGCAGUCAGGGGCCAUGGGAGCCUCAGGGAGGAGACACUCGGGAGGUGGCUCCCAAGCCUCCAGUUUGCCCAACUCACUGGCUAUCGAUAAAAGCAACACACGUUUCUAUUCGGGCGAAGAAUGUGGCCAGAUCAUUCCAGAGACCAAGGUUUCUGCGGGCUACACUUGAUUACCGCAAAUCUGCGAGAGGUGACUGCUCUAGCAGGUCCAAUCAAGGCCAAUUUGGGAUACGUGGAGCGCUGCACCAGCGACUCCAAACAUUGCAUAGAUCUCCAGGGGAGAGGGAACCUGCCGCCAGCUUCCUCACAACCCCACUGGGGGCCCUUGGGGCCUCCUCAAACCAGAUUUUCCAGCUAAGCAGAUCCCAAGCGAUUUCUAUGAACAAGCUUCUCUCAAAGAGCUCCCCUAUCCCUGCACAGGUCUCCCCGCCACCCUAAACGCGCAGGAUCCUAGACACUCAGAUAACACGCUCGCGGACCACUGGCCAGCUUCCCCUACAAACACAGGGCUGCACUGCUGGACGUCUGGCAUGCUCAGCAGCCUCCUCUCGGCAGGGACUAGAGGCUGUCUAGUGCUGGUCCUUGCGCUUCACUUCAGCCCAGAGACUGUCCAUCUCCCAAGAGAAGCACCCAGGUGCCAGCUCGCCUACCUGUAACCCGCCACCAGGGCCACCACUGCUCUGCCCACCGCACCCUGGCGCUGCAGCCGCCCGACCCCAUUGAACAUCCUUUCUACACUGGGUGCUCUCUCCCGGAACAGCUCAACCCCGUGACACCCACGAAAGUGACAGCUUUCUCCAGCUAAAAUCGCUCAACAAAGCCUAGGCACUCCGGUCUAAAUAAAACUGCCCGGCUAUGAGAGAUGUCUGGAGGCAACACGGUUCCACUUCUCAGGGGCACGACCUGGACAAUCUCAGCCACCUUGGAUGCUCUAAGGCAGGCGUCCAGGGAGGAUCAUGCCAGGCUCACCACCCCACAUUCGCCAUCACCCCCGAACUGCGCUCCUCACCCGGUCCCUGUUCAUCCUCCAACCCGUUCCCACGUCCAGUGUUGCUCCAGCCUAGCUGAGGAAAGGCGCCCCCUCGGCUGCUUCUGCCCCGACCAAAGGACAGCAUUGGGGUGACAGGGGAGGGAAAAUGCGCGGGGUGGGAUUCCUCCCUGUCACCCAGCUUGCGCGACUGACAGAACGCGGGUUCUCCUCUCCUCUACAUCUCCCUGUGUCACCGGGUCGCCCAGUAGCUGAUAGAACCUCGAACCCAUGCCAAACCCCAGCGCCCACCAGCCAGGAGGCUCCCUUCCCGCCCCGCAUCACGAUCAGAUGAGUGUGCGCAUGAGGGCGAGUGUGCGAAGGCGAAUGUGUGAGUGGAAGGGUGAGUGUACGUGAACCCCGCACCCCCUCGGUUGCCCGCCCAUCGGAUGCCUCCGCCUGCGCCCGACCAGGGCGACCACAAUUAUGAAGAGUGCAAGGAAUAAAUUACCUUUCGUAACCGCUGGUCCCUGAGAUGGUCCCAUCAGUUGCUCAACAACCUGCAACCCGGUGCAGUUUUCCACAAUCCAUCCAUUGAGCCCCGGGGCAAAAAAAAAAAAAAAAAAAAAAAGAAGAAGAAAUAAAAAAAAGAAGAAGAAAGAAAGAAAAAGAAAACAGAAAAAAAGAUGGACCUGUCCCACUGUAGAUACCCCAGUCACACCAAGCAACGAAUGAUAAUCAAAACGCAGAGACGACAGGAGGGUGGAGACCCCAGUCAAAGAAACAACAAAAAGUGUCUCUUUUCCUUUCUUCUUCUACACAGCCAUGGAGAAAGGGGAAGCCGGGAAAGCCAAAGCAAGUCUUCCUGUACGUUUCCUCGCUUCACACGCCCCAGGGGGCAAAAGCGGAGCAAAGAGAAGGAGGGUUCAAAUGUCUCUCUCAGGGCACAGUUGCACAACUUCGGAGUCAGGCUGUGUCUCUCGCUGCAGCCGGUGGACCCAAGCGGGAGCUAUUAACAUGCGGCAGUCAUAGCUAGAGCUGCUUUCCCUCCUCCUGCAGCCGCCGCCGCCGCCGCCGCCGCAAGAAAAGCCGCUGCUGAGGAGACCAAAAAUCUUCCACCAUCCCCCCCCCGCAGCCGAUCUUUAUAUCCAGUUCUCCCACCCCACCCCCCUUCUCUUUCUUUUUCUUCUUCUUCCUCGUCCUCCCCUUUCCGCCUCCGAGCGGGAGGGAGGGGAUAGGUAGGGGCAGCCGCGAGGACCAGUAGUAGCUUCUCCGCCCAGCCCUCCUCGCCGUCCUCCUCCUGCUGCCCCCGAGGUGCUCCGGCAGUAGAGGGUCCGCUCUGCCGCCCGCAACCCGCUCCGAGAGCCCAGGCGCGAGCCGCGCAAACUCCUUGCCGGGUGUACGGCGUGGACGCGCCGGCAGAGCGGGCGCCGGGCCGCCGAGGGCUGCGUGCCUGCCGCGGGUGGCGAGCCCCGAGCUUCGGUGGUCGCGGAUCAGCUCGCCGGCCGUGCCGGGUAGCUUCGGGCAUACGGGAGCUUCAUCGCCCAGCCCGGGCUCCGAGCCGACGCCGUCACUGCCAACCUCCUCGGCCGCCGGCUUCAGUCCUCUUUUUUUUUUUUUUUUUAUUUUAUUUUUUUUUCCUCUUCUUGACUCCCCCACCGGAGCCACUGGGGCUCGGGGCGCCCUCCAGACACGCACACGCUCUUCCCCGCGCGCACACACACACGGGCGAGCUCCUGCCACAGCACACCGUGGAGCCCGAGCGCGCACACCCGGAGGAAGAGGACCGAGGCCAAGGAAAUAAAUAAAUAAAUAAAAGAGAGAGAAGAAAGAAAGGGGAGGGGGGGCGAGUCACAGGCGGUGGCGGCGGCAGCAGCAGCAGCAGCUGCGGGAGCGGAGGCAGCGCGCAGUCCGCGAGAUGCCAGCGGCGGCGGCGGCGGCGGCGGCGGCAGAGGUAGCGGUGGCGGCUUCGCCCUCCCGGCCCUGCCGUGCCAUCUGCAUCUCCGCUCCUGGGAACUGGAGCGAGCGCAGCGGGCCGAGCGAGCGGAGGGGGCGAUCGCGCCCGCAGACAGGCAGCGUGCGCACAGCGGCCAAGGCAGCCGAGGCCGGAGUGCAGAUUACUCCACGUGUUCUUUAUGCGGGAGCUGACUUCUAAAGCAUUGCCUGCCUUUGGGUGCAUUUUAUGUUUCUUGAAACUUACCUCAGUGUACAAGUUCAUUGCAAAAUCGAAAGUACAUCCCCCCCCCUCCGGAAAAAAAUAUGGGACCUAGAGACUCGAUGAUUUUGAUUUCACAUCAAUAAAAAUCACCAUGAAGGAUAGAGAAAACUGUCUUGGUUCUAGGUCUAUGCCUUUUGUUACCAUAAAGUUUGCUCAAGUGACCUUCGUCAAUUAAUUGUACCUCUUUGGGAUGCUUUUGUAAAUGAAAUUGUUCAGUGUGUCUUCCUUCCUUC
ensembl:lncRNA